rnacentral:rRNA from 1 species
AUGUGGAUAAUGAUAUUGUUAAACUUAAGCUAUUUCCGUUUUCGCUUAGAGAUCGUGCUAAAGCUUGGUUUUCGUCUUUGUCUAAAAAAUAGUAUUGAUUCAUGGAAUAGGUGCAAAGAUGCUUUUAUGUCUAAGUAUUUUCCUCCCGCUAAGAUCAUCUCUCUUAGAAACGAUAUUAUGAAUUUUAAGCAACUUGAUCAUGAACAUGUUGCACAAUCUUGGGAGAGGAUGAAAUUAAUGAUACGUAAUUGCCCUACACAUGGAUUGAAUUUAUGGAUGAUUAUACAAAAAAAUUAUGUCGGGUUGAAUUUUUCUUCUAGAAAUCUUUUAGAUUCGGUCGCGGGAGGCACUUUUAUGGAAAUCACUUUAGGAGAAGCUACUAAAAUCCUAGAUAAUAUUAUGGUUAAUUAUUCUCAAUGGCACACCGAAAGAUCUACUAGUAAAAAAGUUCAUGUGAAUGGAGAGGUUAAUGUUUUGAGUGGAAAGAUGGAUGAACUUAUGAAAUUGUUUGCUAAUAAGAGUGCUCCUACUGAUCCUAAUGAUAUGCCUUUGUCUACUUUGAUUGAGAAUAAUAAUGAAUCUAUGGAUGUGCAUUUUGUUGGUAGGAACAAUUUUGGUAACAACGCGUAUAGAUGUAAUUUUAAUUCUAGGCCGUUUCCUAGUAAUUCCUCUAAUAAUUAUGGUGAUUCCUACGACAAUUCUUAUGGAAAUUAUAAUAAGAUGCCCUCUGAUUUCGAGUAUUAA